rnacentral:snRNA from 1 species
GUGCUCGCUUCAGCAGCACAUAUACAACAAUUUGGAGAAGAUUAGCAUGGCCCCUAGGCAAGGAUGAUAUGCAAAUUUGUGAAGCAUUCCAUAUUUUU